rnacentral:rRNA from 1 species
GCCUAGACAUAAACUUUGAUUAUCCGCCAGAGUACUACGAGCUACAGCUUAAAACUCAAAGGACUUGGCGGUGCUUUACACCCCCCUAGAGGAGCCUGUUCUAUAAUCGAUAAUCCCCGAUAAACCUCACCACCUAUUGCCAAUACAGCCUAUAUACCACCGUCCAGCCCGCCCUUUAAAGGAUAAACAGCAGGCAUAAUUAUAAACAUUAAAACGUCAGGUCAAGGUGUAGCAGAUAAGGUGGAAAGAAAUGGGCUACAUUUUCUAACUUAGAAAACACGGAUGAUUCUAUGAAAUAGUUUCUGAAGGAGGAUUUAGCAGUAAAAAGAAACAAGAAUGUUCUUUUUAAGACGGCAAUAAAGCGCGC